rnacentral:tRNA from 1 species
GCUUCCGUAGCAUAGUGGCUAGUGCGUUCGUCUCGUAAGCGAAAGGUCGCGCGUUCGACUCGCGCCGGGAGCA